rnacentral:rRNA from 1 species
GAGUUCUCGUUGAUGAUCGGUGCUUGCACUGAGAUUCAACAUGGAACGAGUGGCGGACGGGUGAGUAACACGUGGGUAACCUGCCCUUAAGUGGGGGAUAACAUUUGGAAACAGAUGCUAAUACCGCAUAGAUCCAAGAACCGCAUGGUUCUUGGCUGAAAGAUGGCGUAAGCUAUCGCUUUUGGAUGGACCCGCGGCGUAUUAGCUAGUUGGUGAGGUAAUGGCUCACCAAGGCGAUGAUACGUAGCCGAACUGAGAGGUUGAUCGGCCACAUUGGGACUGAGACACGGCCCAAACUCCUACGGGAGGCAGCAGUAGGGAAUCUUCCACAAUGGACGCAAGUCUGAUGGAGCAACGCCGCGUGAGUGAAGAAGGCUUUCGGGUCGUAAAACUCUGUUGUUGGAGAAGAAUGGUCGGCAGAGUAACUGUUGUCGGCGUGACGGUAUCCAACCAGAAAGCCACGGCUAACUACGUGCCAGCAGCCGCGGUAAUACGUAGGUGGCAAGCGUUAUCCGGAUUUAUUGGGCGUAAAGCGAGCGCAGGCGGUUUUUUAAGUCUGAUGUGAAAGCCCUCGGCUUAACCGAGGAAGCGCAUCGGAAACUGGGAAACUUGAGUGCAGAAGAGGACAGUGGAACUCCAUGUGUAGCGGUGAAAUGCGUAGAUAUAUGGAAGAACACCAGUGGCGAAGGCGGCUGUCUGGUCUGUAACUGACGCUGAGGCUCGAAAGCAUGGGUAGCGAACAGGAUUAGAUACCCUGGUAGUCCAUGCCGUAAACGAUGAAUGCUA